CGUAAGCAACCUGCCCCAAGACCGGGACAACGUUCCGAAAGGAGCGCUAAUACCGGAUGUGCCCAUCGGGUGACAUCGCCUGAUGAGUAAAUCGAGCAAUCGGCUUAGGGAGGGGCUUGCGGCCUAUCAGCUAGAUGGUGGGGUAACGGCCUACCAUGGCGACGACGGGUAGCUGGUCUGAGAGGAUGGUCAGCCGGAUUGGGACUGAGAUACGGCCCAG
rnacentral:rRNA from 1 species